AAGGACUCUGCAUUAAAGGAGAGGCUGAUGCAGGCCUCCCGGCUGCACCUGUGCACAUGCCCACCAUGGGGAGCUGGAGCCAUUUACUGAGGCCCUGUCCUGACCACGCAUUGUGCCCAGUGCUUCUGGUUUGCUGGUGAACAUGACUGUCAAGGUCUCGGUCAUGAAAGGGCUCCAGCUACAUUGUGUAUGGUCUGCAAGAUUUUUAAGAACAGCAAAUGUUUGGAAGGCAAUGGCAACUGCACCAUGGAGGAAGGCCCUGGAUGCAGAACCAGGGAUCUCUACUUUUUCAAUGAGAGAGAUGGGUGGCGCUACAACCACACUGAAUUGGACUGUUCUAAUCUGUGUAAGGCUUGGAAGUUGUUUCGUGGGGGCCUGCAGGUUUCAAGUUUUUGCUGCAAAGGUCAAGAUUUCUGCAAUAUAUAUCGAGGAAAAUCACUGCAGUGGAAAUCUCACUAACUACUCAUUCCUUUGUCCAUGGUGGUGUCCACUCACCUUCUCCUGCCCCUGGCAUCUCUGGUCCCGUCUCCCUCUACGUGUGCUACCAAAGAGCAUGCAGUGGCCUCCUAUCUCCUCCAUGUUUCCCUCUUCACUUCUCUCCUGGCCACUGGCUCCUUCCCCGUGACACCAAACACUCUCAGUUUACCCUUGUUUCAGGUCUCUGCUUCACGCACAUCGGCAAAUAACCAUCAGUCCUUGUCGCCUUGCAUUUCCUGGUCCCUCAAAAUCACCACACGUCUCUGGCUGACUGGCUGCCUGGUUUCUAAACCCACCAACUCAGAUGUGACUGGAAUGUGCCCACAAAGGGGAUGGUCCCAUUUUACACAUCAGGAUUUUGAGGGGUCACUGGAAAACUCGGGAAAAUGUGUCCAACUGGCUGAUGGGUAGAGAAGCUUCAAAAUCCAAGAAGGUUCUAAGGCCUGAGGCAAAAGAUGGGGUCAUCAGCUUUAGAUGUUGCGUACAUAUGCAGAAUCCCCUGGAAGCUUACAUUGUGAGACUUAAAGAGGUUGUCCAAUGAGAGAAGAAGGGAACAAGGGUGAAUGAAUCAUAAACACGAGAGACCAUCAAAAUAAAAAAUGGGUGAAGGUCCUUCUACAAAAAUGAUGGUUACAGAGGUAGAUGGGGAACCAGAUGGAAGGGUGUCAGCAUUUGUUUUCUGUGACGACUUGCUGGUUAUUGGCAGAGCAGGAUCCAUGGAGAAGGGGCACAGAAGCCACAUUACUGUGGGUUGAGGAAUGAGUGGACUAUGACGGGGAAGUAGUGAGUGUGGGCAAGUCUUCCACAAAGUUAGGGAAGAAUUGAGAAAGUAGGAUAGUAUCUUUCGUAAGAACAGAGAGUUUAAUAUGUUUUUAGGCAAAGGAAAUUUUAUGUCUUCUCUUUAGUGUAAGAUGCCUCUCUUAUUAUGACUAUAGGAAUAUCUUUUACCAUCAUAUUAUCUUUCUCAAUGUGUAUUUUAAAACUUUUA